AUAGAUUUCUGAUUAAAGAUGUAUAGAUGGAUCCCAAUAGAAGCUGAAACCAUCGCGAAGCUCAGAAAGUUGCUUGACGCAGCUAGAGAAUAGGCCAAUAAGCCAUGCAAGAUGUAAAUAACUUUAGUCAGCAAAUCGGUCCAGAGAUUUCAAAGAAUCGCGUCCAAUCAACAAAAGCGCAAAUGCACUCCAUUCAGAUUAUCAAGUUCUUCAUUUCAAUCUUUGAGCAAUCUCACUCAGGAGAUUGCAGCUAUUCCUCUUACAUGCCUUAACAGUUAGUAUUGCAGCAGUAACAUCACCUCGAGCAAAUCAAGCAUUGUUG
rnacentral:misc_RNA from 1 species